rnacentral:rRNA from 1 species
CGUAGGGGGCAAGCGUUGUCCGGAUUUACUGGGCGUAAAGAGCGUGUAGGCGGCCAAACAGGUCCGUUGUGAAAACUGGAGGCUCAACCUCCAGACGUCGACGGAAACCGUGUGGCUAGAGUCCGGAAGAGGAGAGUGGAAUUCCUGGUGUAGCGGUGAAAUGCGCAGAUAUCAGGAAGAACACCAAUGGCGAAGGCAGCUCUCUGGGACGGUACUGACGCUGAGACGCGAAAGCGUGGGGAGCGAACAGGAUUAGAUACCCUGGUAGUCCACGCCGUAAACGAUGGGUGCUAGGUGUGGGAGGUGUCGACUCCUUCCGUGCCGUAGCUAACGCAUUAAGCACCCCGCCUGGGGAGUACGGCCGCAAGGCUA